rnacentral:rRNA from 1 species
AUUGAACGCUGGCGGCAUGCUUUACACAUGCAAGUCGAACGGUAACAGGGAGCUUGCUCCGCUGACGAGUGGCGAACGGGUGAGUAAUGCGUCGGAACGUGCCGAGUAGUGGGGGAUAACGCAGCGAAAGUUGUGCUAAUACCGCAUACGCACUGAGGUAGAAAGUGGGGGACCUUCGGGCCUCACGCUAUUCGAGCGGCCGACGUCUGAUUAGCUAGUAGGUGAGGUAAAGGCUCACCUAGGCGACGAUCAGUAGCGGGUCUGAGAGGAUGAUCCGCCACACUGGGACUGAGACACGGCCCAGACUCCUACGGGAGGCAGCAGUGGGGAAUUUUGGACAAUGGGCGAAAGCCUGAUCCAGCCAUGCCGCGUGUCUGAAGAAGGCCUUCGGGUUGUAAAGGUCUUUUGUCGGGGAGGAAAUCCCCAGCGCUAAUACCGCUGGGGGAUGACAGUACCUGAAGAAUAAGCACCGGCUAACUACGUGCCAGCCGCCGCCGUAAUAC